GAUGAACGCUAGCGGCAGGCUUAACACAUGCAAGUCGAGGGGUAGAGGCUUUCGGGCCUUGAGACCGGCGCACGGGUGCGUAACUCGUAAGCAAUCUGCCUUGUACUGGGGGAUAGCCCAGAGAAAUUUGGAUUAAUACCCCAUAGUAUUUUCGGUUGCCAUCAACUGAUUAUGAAAGUUUUUCGGUACAAGAUUAGCAUGCGUCCCAUUAGCUAGUUGGUAUGGUAACGGCAUACCAAGGCUACGAUGGGUAGGGGUCCUGAGAGGGAGAUCCCCCACACUGGUACUGAGACACGGACCAGACUCCUACGGGAGGCAGCAGUGAGGAAUAUUGGUCAAUGGUCGCAAGACUGAACCAGCCAUGCCGCGUGCAGGAUGAAGCAUCUAUGGUGUGUAAACUGCUUUUGUACGGGAAGAAACACUCCUACGUGUAGGGGCUUGACGGUACCGUAAGAAUAAGGAUCGGCUAACUCCGUGCCAGCCGCCGCCGUAAAAC
rnacentral:rRNA from 1 species